UCAAGCUACUAAGGGCAUACGGCGGAUGCCUAGGCGCCAUCAGCCGAUGAAGGACGCGGUAAGCUGCGAAAAGCUACGGGGAACUGCAAGCAAGUAUUGAUCCGUAGAUGUCCGAAUGGGGAAACCCACCUGCCGUCAUGGGCAGGUAUCCGAAAGGAAGGGAACCCGGGGAACUGAAACAUCUAAGUACCCGGAGGAAGAGAAAUCAAACGAGAUGCCCACAGUAGCGGCGAGCGAAGAGGGCAGAGGGCAAACCGGUGAGCUACGGCUCGCCGGGGUUGAGGACUGCAUUUAGUCUCAAUGGUCUAUCCGAACUACCUGGAAAGGUAGGCAAUACAGUGUAAAAGCCACGUAGGUUAAAGACCGGAGAGAUGAGCAGUAUCCAGAGUACCACGAGGCACGAGGAAUCUUGUGGGAAGCCGGGGGGACCACCCUCCAACCCUAAACACUGAAUGGCGACCGAUAGCGCAUAGUACCGUGAGGGAAAGGUGAAAAGAACCCCGGGAGGGGAGUGAAAGAGAACCUGAAACCGUAUGUCUACAAGCAGUCGGAGCGAAAGCGACGGCGUGCCUAUUGAAGAAUGAACCAACGAGUUACGUGCACUAGCGAGGUUAAGUGGAAGACACGGAGCCGAAGCGAAAGCGAGUCUUAAGAGGGCGGAUAGUUAGUGUACGUAGACCCGAAACCGCAGUGAUCUACCCAUGUCCAGGUUGAAGCGCAGGUAAAAUUGCGUGGAGGACCGAACCUGUGAGCGUUGAAAAGCUUUAGGAUGAGAUGUGGGUAGAGGUGAAAUUCCAAUCGAACGCGGAGAUAGCUGGUUCUCCCCGAAAUAGCUUUAGGGCUAGCCUCAAGUAGUAAGUAUAGGCGGUAGAGCACUGAUCGGGCUAGGGGCCAUAAAGGUUACCGAACCCUGUCAAACUCCGAAUGGUUAUACUGUAGAGCUUGGGAGUCAGACUACGAGUGAUAAGAUCCGUGGUCAAAAGGGAAACAGCCCAGACCACCAGCUAAGGUCCCCAAUGUCGUACUAAGUGGAAAAGGAUGUGGGGUCUCUAAAACAACCAGGAUGUUGGCUUAGAAGCAGCCACCAUUUAAAGAGUGCGUAAUAGCUCACUGGUCGAGAGACCCUGCGCCGAAGAUUACCGGGGCUAAAGUACGAAACCGAAGCUGUGGCUACGACAUAUGUCGUGGGGUAGGGGAGCGUUCUGUGAGGGCUGAAGUCGUUCUGUAAGGAACGGUGGACUUCACAGAAGUGAGAAUGUUGGUAUGAGUAGCGAAAAGAAUGGUGAGAAUCCAUUCCACCGAAAGCAUAAGGAUUCCUGGGCAACGAUCGUCGUCCCAGGGUAAGUCGGGACCUAAUCCGAGGCAUGGAGCGUAGGAGAUGGACAACUGGCAGAUAUUCCAGUACCGGUAAUGAUUGUUUGAGCGAUGGAGUGACACAGGAGGGCAGGCAGGCAGGAGAUUGGUUGUUCCUGUACAAGCGUGUAGGAUGGGACGCAGGCAAAUCCGCGUCCUGUGAGUCUGAGGCGUGAUGUGGAGGUUCCGGAAACGGAACUGAAGCUGCUGACCCCACACUGUCGAGAAAAGCUUCUAGUUAGAGAAUUACCGCCCGUACCGUAAACCGACACAGGUAUGCGGGGAGAGAAUCCUAAGGUGCGCGGGAGAACCCUCGUUAAGGAACUCGGCAAAAUGUACCCGUAACUUCGGGAUAAGGGUAGCCGCUGUUGUGAAGUCUGAACAGACGGAGCAUGAGGCGGUCGCAGAGAAGAGGCCCAAGCGACUGUUUACCACAAACACAGGUGCCUGCUAAAGAGAAAUCUGACGUAUAGGUGCUGACACCUGCCCAGUGCCGGAAGGUUAAGGAAGGAUGUCCGGAGCAAUCCAAAGCAUUCGACCGAAGCCCCGGUGAACGGCGGCCGUAACUAUAACGGUCCUAAGGUAGCGAAAUUCCUUGUCGGGU
rnacentral:rRNA from 1 species